CAAAAGCAAAACAGGAAACAAAUGUUUGCUCAGCCAACCAUUUCCUGCUGAGGACGCUGUGCAGAACGUGGCCUGUGAAGGGUUCACUGUGCAGCCUUGAACAGAUUGAAGUGAUUCAUGGGGGGAAGUAGCACCCAAGCCAAGGCCUCGUGGAAGCAGGGGCAUCUCAGAGAUCAUCUCCGGUAACGGGGGCUUGACUUUGUGAUGAGUGAGAGAAUCCAGGUUGGUAAAACAGAUAGCCAUCCAGUGACGAAAAAGUAAGCGAGGAUGCUUUGCCUGGGAAUAACACGCAACUGAUGAAGCACAAUCCCACUAUGGAAGGAAAUGAUUGAUGCCUAUGCAAUAUAAGAUUAGCCUAAUCUAUAUGGACUGUGACAAAAAGCUACAAGUUUUUGGAAUGCUCCGGAAAGCUGAGGACCUUGCCCUGUGCAAAGAAAGACACGUUGUAUCAGAGCGACAUUUCUAGUAUCACAGGUGUUUAAUUUCAUGCUCUCUGAUUCUAAUUUUUGAAUCACUUCAGUUUCUCCUGAUUUCACGACCACCUAACUUUGCUCAAACAUGAAUAAUAAUCUUGCCUGGGUUGUCUUUUAUAGCCAGAGAACUCAACUUUUCUAUUUUUAAAAGAAAAGAAACAUCAAGCCCUUGAGUCCUCUCCUAAAAGUAUGGGUCCGCCUCCUUGGCUGAAGGCAGAGCUGGGACCCAGGAAUGCUGCCCCCUGAGUCCAGCUGCCUCUGCCCACGUGGUCUUCCUCAGGGUCUCCCUCAGGGCUUUAAAAGGGUGACAAUCUUCUGCUUGAGGAGGAUUACCACGGCAAGCUAUAAACCGAAGCAUCAAGCCGGCUGCCCCACCACCCCAAGGUUAUCCACACACGUCUGGUUUGACCUUCACAACCCUUUAGAAACCAGGAACCCACACUCCACGAAUAUUCUACUUGUGCCAUAGAUUUUAUUUUGUUUUGCAUAGAGCAAAAUGAACAGAAACAUGUUGGGGUUGGGGGCAGGGGUGGGAUUUUGAGAAUUAAUUCUAGGCACUUUACAGAUGGAUAAUUUGACAAGGAAAAAAAAAAAUUCUAGGUCACAUAGUGCGUUUUCAGCACCGAAGAUGGUAUUUUAAAAUAUAUUUUACAUAAUGGGUUCAAGCAGCAGGCAGCAUUAUCUGCUAAGCGGCUGUGCUGACAGCGAGCUAAAAAGCUACAUAAUAGAGUUAAAAAGAAAGCCUUCCCUGAGUUUUCUCCAGAGCAUUUUUACCCUGAGGAAUUUUUUUAGGGGUUAUUUUAAAUGUGUCCCAAUGUCAGACUUGUUCAGAAAGAGAGCAUUGUGUAUCUCAAGAGAAUGAUGCUUUGCUGUCCUUUUUUUUUUUUAAAGUAGAGCAAAAUGCUAACUUUUAAUAGAUCAUCUAGCCUUUUCUGUACAGAAUAUGUCCUCCCUCAGAAUUCCUAUGCAAAUAUUCAAACUCCCGGACCGGGAAAAGGUUAAAAGGAACUGAAAAAGUCUAUAGUGCCUCUUUCUGAGACGUACUCCAACACUUGGCAGGAUGAGGUGUUCAUAGCAGGUGCUGGAUUUGCUAUAAAUGGACAAUUUAUAAACAGAGCUGACAACUGGGAAAACAGAGCAGUGGGGAAUGCUGGCAUUCCAGGGGCCAGCGGUUGAUUUCCUAUCAGAUGGUCCUCAGCAUGGAAUUAUUGAUAGCCGCUGCUCUGAAAGAAAGCCAGUUGGCUGACGCAUAAAAGGGUUGUGCCUCAAUGCCUGCCUGAUCUGCUGCUAGAUAUUUUAAAUAGGUCAGUGCAAAUUAGCUUCUUCAGGUUGGUAGUUCCUUAAUUAGCAAUUUAAUUGCAAAGUCUCCCCCCACCCCACCUUGAGUGAAUCUAACGCUCUUCCCUCUCUGUAAGGCCUGAUCACUGGGACCCGGGAGAAGUCGACUGAAACAAGAGGAGCCUGAGGGCGGUGGCGGAGGACUCAGAACAGUCUAGCACCCAAGGCCAACACAGAAGCUGGCUGAGGCAGGCCCUCUGUGCCUGCGAGGGCAGUGUCCAUGGCCAUGUGUCCUGGGAGAGAAAAAAGCGGGCCUUAGAGUGGGCCUUAGAGUGUUAGAAGCUGUUAGACUUCCCUGGUGGCUCAGAUGGUAAAGCGUCUGUCUACAAUGCAGAAGACCUGGGUUCGAUCCCUGGGUCGGGAAGUUCCCUGGAGAAGGAAAAGGCAACCCACUCCAGUACUCGUGCCUAGAAAAGCCCAUGGACAGAGGAGCCUGGUGUCCAUGGGGUUGCAAAGAGUCAGACACGACUGAGCGACUUCACAUUCAUAAGAGCUCUGAGCCCUGCCAUUUCUCUUUUGCUGUUUGUCAAGGGCUGCCAGUACACUGGGGCAUUCCUGAGAUCUCUUAGCAAGGUUCUGCUUUCCAAGGAUUCCCAUGGUACAUUCCAAGAAUCACAUGGUAAUUUC